AGGACGAACGCUGGCGGCGUGCCUAACACAUGCAAGUCGAACGCGCUCCAUUCGGUAGCAAUACUGAUGAAGAGCGAGUGGCGAACGGGUGAGUAGCACGUGAGCAACCUGCCCCGAAGACCGGGACAACACCGGGAAACCGGUGCUAAUACCGGAUAUCCCUAUCGGACCGCAUGAUCUGAUAAGGAAAUGGAUUCCGCUUCGGGAGGGGCUCGCGGCCUAUCAGCUAGUUGGUGAGGUAACGGCCCACCAAGGCAUCGACGGGUAGCUGGUCUGAGAGGACGAUCAGCCACACUGGGACUGAGACACGGCCCAGACUCCUACGGGAGGCAGCAGUGGGGAAUCUUGCGCAAUGGGCGAAAGCCUGACGCAGCAACGCCGCGUGGAGGACGAAGGCUUUCUGAGUUGUAAACUCCUUUCAGCAGGGACGAUAGUGACGGUACCUGCAGAGAGCCCGGCAACUACGCGCCAGCAGCCG
rnacentral:rRNA from 1 species